rnacentral:lncRNA from 1 species
UCGAUUUGACUUUCAUUUUUUUUUACUUUUCAUUCAAUUUUUUAUUUUGGGUUGUGUUCAGUUUAAAUGUUUAGGUAUAGUAUUUUUUCUAAUCCUAUGUACAAAGUUUAUAACAAUUAAUCUAUGCACAAAUUGUUAUAAAAUACAAAUAUUAACUUGAACUUAUGUAUGAAAACGGUUUUAUUAUAAAAUAAAUCUCAAACAAUAUAUUUUAAAACAAUUAUAAAACUAUAAUAAAAUGAUUUAUUAUAUUAUAGUUUUUAUUAAAUUAAAGUAUCAAACAAAACCUGUUGCGUUCAUAUCUUGUAUAUAUAUAAAAUUUUAGAGUUAUUUUGUUAAUUUUUUUUUUAAUUCCUUAUAGAUUAUGAUCACUUGUUAUAAUACAUGUUCAAAUUU